CCGGCGGAGUGGUUUCUCUGCAGUCACCAACACGGCUAUGUCUUCCUCCUCACGACUGAGACAGAAAACAAACAAGCAUCCUACAGGCCUGAGUCCACCAGCUACUCUGCAGCCCUAGUGCACCAUACCUGGCUCAGUUACCAACCUAAUCAUAUCCAGAGGCCAAUAAGGAAAAGGGCUCACGCCACAGCAGUGCUGGGGGAAAUUAGUGCAACAAAGGGGCUGGUACCUGUCAGAUGGGGACAGCCCUCCACAGUCCAAGGUCUCAUCCGUGAUAAACUUGACAUCUGAAGGAGAAAGAAGAAUAAAUGCCAACACUGGUUCCUGA